AUCGCUUCUCAGCCUUUUGGCUAAGAUCAAGUGCAGUUUUCACCAGAACCAAUGGAGAAUUGUAUAUAUUACAGUUGAUUCUUAUAUAUUAAUCUAUAGUUUCAUAUUUGAGCAGCAUAUAUAGUUUCUGUUCAGAAAAAAUAAUGUUGAGAUAAAUCUACAAGAAGCCUCCCAGUGUUUAGCUUUU
rfam:Fukomys damarensis contig131390, whole genome shotgun sequence.